GCCUGUGUGUCUCCGUGGUUAGAGCAUCAGUCUGAGCACUGAAGGGCUGUGGGUUCAGUUCCCAGUCAAGGGCA
rfam:Myotis lucifugus cont2.30641, whole genome shotgun sequence.